GUGGGGAAUAUUGGACAAUGGGCGCAAGCCUGAUCCAGCAAUGCCGCGUGAGUGAAGAAGGCCCUAGGGUUGUAAAACUCUUUCAGUAGUGAAGAUGAUGACGGUAACUACAAAAGAAGCACCGGCUAACUUCGUGCCAGCAGCCGCGGUAAUACGAAGGGUGCUAGCGUUGUUCGGAAUUACUGGGCGUAAAGAGCAUGUAGGCGGAUUGAUUAGUCAGAGGUGAAAGCCCCGAGCUCAACUUGGGAAUUGCCUUUGAUACUGUCAAUCUAGAGACCGAGAGAGGUGAGUGGAAUUCCCAGUGUAGAGGUGAAAUUCGUAGAUAUUGGGAAGAACACCAGUGGCGAAGGCGGCUCACUGGCUCGGUACUGACGCUGAGAUGCGAAAGCGUGGGGAGCGAACAGGAUUAGAAACCCGGGUAGUCC
rnacentral:rRNA from 1 species